rnacentral:tRNA from 1 species
CAUGUGGGUGUGUAACGCAUUAAAAAUUUUGAGUUUUUAGGAAACGGAGAAAACUGUUAUAUGUAA